rnacentral:rRNA from 1 species
UACGUAGGGGGCAAGCGUUGUCCGGAUUUAUUGGGCGUAAAGAGCUCGUAGGCGGCUUGGCAAGUCGGGUGUGAAACCUCCAGGCUCAACCUGGAGACGCCACCCGAUACUGCCAUGGCUAGAGUCCGGUAGGGGACCACGGAAUUCCUGGUGUAGCGGUGAAAUGCGCAGAUAUCAGGAGGAACACCGGUGGCGAAGGCGGUGGUCUGGGCCGGCACUGACGCUGAGGAGCGAAAGCGUGGGGAGCGAACAGG